rnacentral:rRNA from 1 species
GAUGAACGCUGGCGGCGUGCCUAAUACAUGCAAGUCGAGCGAACGGACGAGAAGCUUGCUUCUCUGAUGUUAGCGGCGGACGGGUGAGUAACACGUGGAUAACCUACCUAUAAGACUGGGAUAACUUCGGGAAACCGGAGCUAAUACCGGAUAAUAUUUUGAACCGCAUGGUUCAAAAGUGAAAGACGGUCUUGCUGUCACUUAUAGGUGGAUCCGCGCUGCAUUAGCUAGUUGGUAAGGUAACGGCUUACCAAGGCAACGAUGCAUAGCCGACCUGAGAGGGUGAUCGGCCACACUGGAACUGAGACACGGUCCAGACUCCUACGGGAGGCAGCAGUAGGGAAUCUUCCGCAAUGGGCGAAAGCCUGACGGAGCAAAGCCGAGUGAGUGAUGAAGGUCUUCGGAUCGUAAAACUCUGUUAUUAGGGAAGAACAUAUGUGUAAGUAACUGUGCACAUCUUGACGGUACCUAAUCAGAAAGCCACGGCUAACUACGUG